CCUACGGGGGGCUGCAGUGGGGAACAUUGCACAGUGGGCGCAAGCCUGAUGCAGCCAUGCCGCGUGUGUGAAGAAGGCCUUCGGGUUGUAAAGCACUUUCAGCGGGGAGGAAGGCGUUAAGGUUAAUAACCUUGGCGAUUGACGUUACCCGCAGAAGAAGCACCGGCUAACUCCGUGCCAGCAGCCGCGGUAAUACGGAGGGUGCAAGCGUUAAUCGGAAUUACUGGGCGUAAAGCGCACGCAGGCGGUCUGUCAAGUCGGAUGUGAAAUCCCCGGGCUCAACCUGGGAACUGCAUUCGAAACUGGCAGGCUAGAGUCUUGUAGAGGGGGGUAGAAUUCCAGGUGUAGCGGUGAAAUGCGUAGAGAUCUGGAGGAAUACCGGUGGCGAAGGCGGCCCCCUGGACAAAGACUGACGCUCAGGUGCGAAAGCGUGGGGAGCAAACAGGAUUAGAUACCCGGGUAGUC
rnacentral:rRNA from 1 species